CCUACGGGCGGCUGCAGUGGGGAAUAUUGCACAACGGGCGCAAGCCUGAUGCAGCCAUGCCGCGUGUGUGAAGAAGGCCUUCGGGUUGUAAAGCACUUUCAGCGGGGAGGAAGGCGUUAAGGUUAAUAACCUUGGCGAUUGACGUUACCCGCAGAAGAAGCACCGGCUAACUCCGUGCCAGCAGCCGCGGUAAUACGGAGGGUGCAAGCGUUAAUCGGAAUUACUGGGCGUAAAGCGCACGCAGGCGGUCUGUCAAGUCGGAUGUGAAAUCCCCGGGCUCAACCUGGGAACUGCAUUCGAAACUGGCAGGCUAGAGUCUUGUAGAGGGGGGUAGAAUUCCAGGUGUAGCGGUGAAAUGCGUAGAGAUCUGGAGGAAUACCGGUGGCGAAGGCGGCCCCCUGGACAAAGACUGACGCUCAGGUGCGAAAGCGUGGGGAGCAAACAGGAUUAGAUACCCCGGUAGUC
rnacentral:rRNA from 1 species